AUGUGAGACAGGGACACAGUUCUUUGGUGUGACGUUUUCAGACUGAGGGGAUGGAUUGCAUAGAGAGUCAGAGACUUUGCAUUAUUUUUGUUUGGCCCGUGAGCAGAGUGAGAGGACUGAGUAGAGACCGUGAGAUUGAAAACUCAAAAGUUCAAAAUCCUAAUAUUUCGAAAGAGGGUCCUCGUCUCAGUGAUGCGUUGUGUUUUUUCUUCAUCUCAUCAAAAAUUCUGUUAUGUGGAGCUGAUUGGGUUCGAGUACUUCAUGGUUUGAAAAAAUCAUCAAGUAGAGAAGAACCAACUUAUAAGGAAAUUUUACUGCCCUGACAUGAAUUGUUGGCAUGUUGUAUAUUUUUGCCUUUUGGUAUAAUGCUAUUUAUUAUUAAAUUGGUAUUUUGUUAUAUCAUAUUACUAAUGAUAUCUUGUGUGUUUUGUAUCAUAGGUUGAUGGAGAUUGGUUUCUGGCUGGUUUUUUAUUUUUUUAUUUUUUGUGAAUUGAUCUACUAAAAAUACUUAAAGGAAGUAUGCUUAUAGGACAUGUUUUUUUAAGUAAUGGUGUAAUUAUUUUUGUGAAAAAAACUUGUUGACUUGUCAGAGCUGUCCAGCUAGACAAAGUUGCUGGAAAUUUGGAUUUUUUUUUUAAAGCUUGAACAUAUAGGUAAUUUCAUUACUUGAAUAGCUUACUUGAAUUGCAGAAAUAUAAGGAAUGUUGCAAACCACUAUUUGUGUACGUGAUGGAGAAAUAUGGAUAACAUGAAGUAAUUUUUUGUAGUGUUUUAUUUUUGUACUUGGUGCUCAAAGAAAUGGUUUAACAUGUUGAUAUUGCUUUCAUGUUUGUUAUUCUUGGUUAUUAUUAUUAGGUUGUUUAUUACUUUUAUUUAUUGUUCUACAGGUUAUUAUUCAAUCUAUUGUGUUUCAUUCAUUUUUAGACUAAGUGUUUAUUAUUUGUGUUUUUCAUUUUAUUAAUAAAUUGCUACUCUUAGUUAAGAUUAAUGGAUUUAAUAUUAGGUGUUCUGGCAAGUUGAAUUUAGUUAAGAUUAGUGGAUUUAUUAGUGUUUAUAUAUUUUUUUAUUCUCUUUAAACUAAGACCAACUUUUACACACUUUUGUAACUGUCAAAUGUAGAAUUGGCUCCUAUAUUCAAAGGUGAAGGCCAACAUAUUUACAUUGAUUUAUUUCAAAUGAGAAUGUUGGCUCCUAUGUCAUAUGUGCAUAAGAAAUGGGGCUGAAGUGAAUAAGAGUUGGACUUUUCAGUUUGUAAAUCUGAAUAUGUGAUUUAGAAGUUAUUAUUGUGAAUAUGUGAUACCUUAGAAGUUGAAAUUAUUUACCUGUUUCAGUUUUUAACUAUAUUUUGGCAAGUGAUGAAUCAUUGAUUUAUUUGCAAUAAGAAUGUUGUAAAUAAGCAAUGCAAUGUAAUGUGUUGCUGUGCAUCAGAGUGGCUCAAGUGAAUAAGAGUUGGAGGACUUUUUUCUACCAUUUAUUUAGUUUGUUUUCCUAGUUGAUACUAUAAUUAGUAUUCUACCAUUUGAAAUUGUAGUUUAUUGUUAUACCUUAGAAGUUGGGAUUAUGUACCUAUUUGUAACUAUACUGUGGCAAGUGAUGAAUCAUUGAUUUAUUUGCAAAAAGAUGUUGUUUAAGCAAUGCUAUGUCAUGUGCUGCUGACUGAUGUGCAUAAAAAAUGGAGCUAAUUCGGCUGAAGUCAUGAAUAAGAGUUGAAGAAUAUUCUUCUACCAUUUUUUUA